GCCUUGUACACACCGCCCGUCACACCACGAGAGUUUGUAACACCCGAAGUCGGUGAGGUAACCUAUUAGGAGCCAGCCGCCUAAGGUGGGAUAGAUGAUUGGGGUGAAGUCGUAACAAGGUAGCCGUAUCGGAAGGUGCGGCUGGAUCACCUCCUUUCUA
rnacentral:rRNA from 1 species